ACCUUCUCUCUAAAGCACCCUGCUCAAACUGCGGGAGCCUAAGCCUCACAGGUUUAGCUCCUGUGGCUGUGUAAGCAUGGGUACACCAGGGAAGAAGAUUAUAAAGGCACAGUAUUGGAAAUGGGCCUCGGGGGGACCUCUUUCUUAAUGUCCAAUGUCCUUUGCCUCAAGAUCCUGUGUUACACUG
rnacentral:snoRNA from 1 species